CGCUAAUGCUAUUAAAGACAUCUGUUCUCGAAAAACCUGUCGUGGAGGCUUUGAUAUUCAACGCUCUGAGCUAAACGACGCCUUGGCAAAGACCAUGUUCACUAUAGAUAAUGAGAAAUAUUCAUUCAGCAAAUCUGGAGAUUUGGAUACCGGUUAUGAUAUCAACAUUUGGGAAGCGUCACUUGAAAAUAACGCUGAAUUUGUCAACAAUGUGAAACUGAAGACUGUGGCACGCUACAUGAUCAAGAAUGAAAGCAUGCUUUUCCUGAAUGACACACAGAGAAAUCCUCUGGAAGAUUUCACAGGUCGUGUGAUUUCGCAGUGCUCUCCAAGCUGUCGACCUGGAUUUAGAAAGGUUUUUUCUGUAGACAAACCCAUC